rnacentral:rRNA from 1 species
UACGUAGGUGACCAGCGUUGUCCGGAUUUACUGGGCGUAAAGAGCGCGCAGGCGGUCGUUCAAGUCGAGUGUGAAAGCCCCCGGCUCAACUGGGGAGGGUCACUCGAUACUGAUCGACUUGAAGGCAGGAGAGGGAAGCGGAAUUCCCGGUGUAGUGGUGAAAUGCGUAGAUAUCGGGAGGAACACCAGUGGUGUAGACGGCUUUCUGGACCGACACUGACGCUGAGACACGAAAGCGUGGGUAGCAAACAGG